UACAGAGGGGGCGAGCGUUAUCCGGAAUGAUUGGGCGUAAAGCGUCCGCAGGUGGCUAUGUAAGUCUGCUGUUAAAGAGUCUGGCUCAACCAGAUAAAGGCAGUGGAAACUACAUGGCUAGAGUGCGUUCGGGGCAGAGGGAAUUCCUGGUGUAGCGGUGAAAUGCGCAGAUAUCAGGAGGAACACCAAUGGCGAAGGCAGCUCGCUGGAACGGUACUGACGCUGAGGCGCGAAAGCGUGGGGAGCAAACAGG
rnacentral:rRNA from 1 species